AAACGAGCGAUUCAUUCGGCGCUGAGGGCAAGUUAAAUCUUUUCAGAAGUCUGGUGUCACCACUGUUGCCCUGGCUGACUUGGAACUGGUAGAUUAACUUUGGGUCUGUACUAUCUGUAUGGUGUCACACCACACCAGCUGGUGUACUUAGCCACAGAGCCAUCUGGAUGCUCUACACGUUACUUUGCAAUUGGCUUGGCAGUCGUCAUCUUCACCUGACCUCCUCUCCCCCCACAGAGCAGACUUCACACCCUGAAAGAUGACACAACUUGCAGUGGGCAGCAGGAGAUCCUGCAGGA